GACGAACGCUGGCGGCGUGCCUAAUACAUGCAAGUAGAACGCUGAAGGAGGAGCUUGCUUCUCUGGAUGAGUUGCGAACGGGUGAGUAACGCGUAGGUAACCUGCCUGGUGGCGGGGGAUAACUAUUGGAAACGAUAGCUAAUACCGCAUAAUAGUAGAUGUUGCAUGACAUUUGCUUAAAAGGUGCAAUUGCAUCACUACCAGAUGGACCUGCGUUGUAUUAGCUAGUUGGUGGGGUAACGGCUCACCAAGGCGACGAUACAUAGCCGACCUGAGAGGGUGAUCGGCCACACUGGGACUGGGACACGGCCCAGACUCCUACGGGAGGCAGCAGUAGGGAAUCUUCGGCAAUGGACGGAAGUCUGACCGAGCAACGCCGCGUGAGUGAAGAAGGUUUUCGGAUCGUAAAGCUCUGUUGUAAGAGAAGAACGAGUGUGAGAGUGGAAAGUUCACACUGUGACGGUAUCUUACCAGAAAGGGACGGCUAACUACGUG
rnacentral:rRNA from 1 species